rnacentral:rRNA from 1 species
GGAUGCUUCGGGCGCGGUCCCCGUCUAAGUACCCCGGAACGGGUCGUCAUAGAGGGUGAGAAUCCCGUCUGGGACGGGUGGCCGUGUCCGUGUGAAGUUCCUUCGCCGAGUCGAGUUGUUUGGGAAUGCAGCUCUAAAUGGGUGGUAAAUUUCAUCUAAAGCUAAAUAUUGGCCGGAGACCGAUAGCGCACAAGUAGAGUGAUCGAAAGAUGAAAAGCACUUUGAAAAGAGAGUUAAACAGCACGUGAAAUUGUUGAAAGGGAAGCGCUUGCGACCAGACUCGCCCGCGGGGGUUCAGCCGGUACUCGUACCGGUGUACUCCCCCGGGGGCGGGCCAGCGUCGGUUUGGGCGGUCGGUCAAAGGCCUCCGGAAUGUGUCGCCCCCCGGGGCGUCUUAUAGCCGGAGGUGCAAUGCGGCCAGCCUGGACCGAGGAACGCGCUUCGGCUCG